UUACUACUCCCUCCGUCCGGAAAUACUUAUUAGAGAAAUGGAUAAAAAUAGAUGUAUCAGAACUAAAAUACAUCUAGAUACAUCCAUUUCUCCAACAAGUAUUUCGGGAAGGAGGGAGUAUUUA
rfam:Hordeum vulgare subsp. vulgare, WGS project CAJW01000000 data, contig: morex_contig_274640